AGCCUGAUCUGUUUUUAAUAAGCAGAAGGUUUAGAUAUAUGUUUAAACUUAUGAAACUUAAAGAACAUGAAUUUUAAAGAGGCUUUAUGAAGAAAGUAUUUUAAGCUUUUCCAGUAAUUUAAGAUGAUACCGGGGAAGGUUUUCCGGUUUAUCCCGGAGGGCUUGUAGCUCAGUUGGUUAGAGCGCGCGCUUGAUAAGCGUGAGGUCGGAGGUUCAAGUCCUCCCAGGCCCACCAAUUUAUGCUCGCUUUUUUCUUGUUUAAGAGUAUGAAGCUUAUUAAAGCCUCUACAAUCUUUUUUCCUUGUUAAGGAUUUAAUUUUAUUAUCUAAGGAUUGUUUAGUGCAUUUAUUCCGUUAAAUUUGUCAAAGAGGAUUUUAAGAUGUCUUCAAAGAUGUARACAAAUUUGAAUGAUAGGAAUCGAAAUAGUAUAAGUGAUUCAAGUCGAUGGAUUUUUUGAGGUUGAUUUGAUUUGAGUGAGCAUUAUUUAGGGGCCGUAGCUCAGCUGGGAGAGCACCUGCUUUGCAAGCAGGGGGUCGUCGGUUCGAUCCCGUCCGGCUCCACCAUUAUAUCAUCAUCAUGUUGUAAGAACAUUGUUUUGUGAGAGGUUUUAGUAACUUCUUGCCUGUUCUAUUGAAAUCGUGAAGAGAAGAUAUAUUCAGACAUGGUUUUUUGUGUACUGUUUUUUAAGAUUAGAGUUAUGAAAAAUGAUGUGUCGCAAGGGAAUGCUCAAAGCCCUUGCUUAUGAUUGGA
rnacentral:tRNA from 1 species